CAGUCGCCGCGGUAAUACAGAGGGUGCGAGCGUUAAUCGGAUUUACUGGGCGUAAAGCGUGCGUAGGCGGCUUUUUAAGUCGGAUGUGAAAUCCCUGAGCUUAACUUAGGAAUUGCAUUCAAUACUGGGAAGCUAGAGUAUGGGAGAGGAUGGUAGAAUUCCAGGUGUAGCGGUGAAAUGCGUAGAGAUCUGGAGGAAUACCGAUGGCGAAGGCAGCCAUCUGGCCUAAUACUGACGCUGAGGUACGAAAGCAUGGGGAGCAAACAGGAUUAGAUACCCCCGUAGUCCCUGUCUCUUAUAC
rnacentral:rRNA from 1 species